rnacentral:lncRNA from 7 species
GUAAGUCUGCCUGCUCAGAAUUUUUCUUUCUGCUAUUUGUUGCUUAGGGCAGCUAUACUUCUGACUUUUUACUAUGCUUUUGCCUGAACGUUGUGGGACUGUGGCUGGUGCUUGUGGCUGCUGUGGAGCUGCUGUGCUGGCCAGAGCACCUACCUGCAUCUGUUGGUGAGCUGAGCCUCUGCCCACACAGCCCUGUCACCAGAGACUUUCACCAGGCUUUCCAAAUCAAUCCUUCUCCAACUGAUCAUCACUAUGGGAGAACAAGACAUGCUCUAUGAAUGAUCUUACACUUCUGCAAAUGGCUAUUCCUGAAGUGACAUCUAAGAGAGGACAGAUAAAGAGAAUUAGAUAUGAUUCUUAAAGCAGAGUUCCAGUUUUUAUUCUUCAGACAAGUUUGUUCUCUCCCUGCACACAAACUUGUUUCUGCAGCAGGGAGGAGAGCAGUCAGGCAGCUCUUGAGUUGCUUCACCAUCUGUUUCUCAGCUCUUUGUUCAAAAUGCCUGAUCAGAAGCCUGUAAACCGUGUUGUCUUCUGGACACAGUUCCAAGCUAAGGAGAGAGAAGUGAGGGAAAGGAGGUACAAAAAACAGAGACUGCAUCUCCACAUCCAGUGGGAAUAUUUUACUGAGUUUCACUGCGAUGUAAGAUGAAAAUCAACUUCUAAAUAUGGGCUCUUAGGAUAAUGGAGGUUCUCCUGAUCUGCUGAGCUGUGCCCAGGUAAACCACAUCAGUGAUGGCACCUCUGCUUCCCUGGUACUUUGGUUUGCUUGCACAUUUGAUAGUGAUUCUUGCUUAGUUUGUGAUUCUAAUCUGAUUUAAGAUAAUUAAAUUAAGGAAAUUAAAAUAC